UACACUCCUACGGGAGGCAGCAGUGGGGAAUUUUGGACAAUGGGCGAAAGCCUGAUCCAGCAAUGCCGCGUGUGUGAAGAAGGCCUUCGGGUUGUAAAGCACUUUUGUCCGGAAAGAAAUCCUUGGCUCUAAUACAGUCGGGGGAUGACGGUACCGGAAGAAUAAGCACCGGCUAACUACGUGCCAGCAGCCGCGGUAAUACGUAGGGUGCGAGCGUUAAUCGGAAUUACUGGGCGUAAAGCGUGCGCAGGCGGUUUGCUAAGACCGAUGUGAAAUCCCCGGGCUCAACCUGGGAACUGCAUUGGUGACUGGCAGGCUAGAGUAUGGCAGAGGGGGGUAGAAUUCCACGUGUAGCAGUGAAAUGCGUAGAGAUGUGGAGGAAUACCGAUGGCGAAGGCAGCCCCCUGGGCCAAUACUGACGCUCAUGCACGAAAGCGUGGGGAGCAAACAGGAUUAGAUACCCUUGUAGUCCCAUGA
rnacentral:rRNA from 1 species